GGAGGAGGAGGAGGAGGAGAUGAAGAAGAGUCGAGAGGAGGAAGGCUGAUAGAUUAACAGGAAGAGGAGAAAGAUGAGGGGGAAGCGAAGGUGAGGAGGAGGUGCAUGAGGGGGAGGAGGAGCAAGAGGUGGAGGAGGUGGAUGAGGAGGAUGAGGAGAAGGGAAGGAGGAGGGCCAAGAUGGAGGCAUGGAGGAGCGAGCACCAGGAAGCCCGUUAGCCCAUAAUGAGGCUGCCUGCUUUAGUAAUUUAAUCACUUCGUCACGCCCUUACUGACCUACGGGACUCACUAAGGGGCUUGUUGUACGCACGGGCGGGACCUUCAGUUCUCUCAUGCACACCCAAAGUAAUGACCGAUAUGAGUUUAAUAGGAGUUGAUCGUUGCAGCACUAACUUUUCCUGCGGGAAGGCUGUUGCACUGGCGGGUAACUCGCUUUGAGAUAAAAAUAAAAUUACUGAUAUAUGUAUUGCAUUGCUUAGAAAAGAUUGGAUUGGUUUCUUGGUUCUGGAUUAGUUUGUAGAUAUAAAAUCUUGCAGUUAUGGCGUUAAGCUUAUCCAGGUACUUGAAAACCUGUUGUAAAUUCCCUUAGAGUUUUCUCUUUUAAAUACAACGAGGCUGAGUCAUAAGAACAUAAGAUCGUAAGGAGUCUGGAAGGGGGCGGUUGGCCUGUUCAAGGCAGCUCCUGUAACCUCAGGAUCCGAUUCCUUCUAUACGCUAUGGAGAGGCUUUUGACGCAUGUUUUUCGAAUGGUUACUGUUUCUCCUAAAGUGAAUGACUUUACAUACUGGCAACGUUGACGGACAUUGCCACUUUUCAGACCACCGAAUAUUAUGGAAUGACUUCCUUAGCGGCCGUCGUGAGGGCUUCUCCAUCCGUAUUGGUAUCGUCAGCAAAGUUCGACAGGUAAAAUUUAAGUCCUAUUUUUCUAAGCCUUUGAUGUAUAUGAUGAAGAUAAUGGCUGCAAACCGCGGCCCUUCCUGUGCUUUGCUGGUGACUGGGCGCCACUCGCAGGCCUGUCAAUCGAGUGAUACUCCUUGUUUUCUUCUGUUAAGGCAAUCUCCUCUCCUCGCUGUCUGGUUGUCUUUUACACACCUUUAUUCUAUCUUAUUGAGGAGAGGAGACGUUUAUGUUGUAUUUUGCCAAAGGUUUUCUGAAAGUCAAGUUUCAAUACAGCUCGGUUUUUAUAUAUUACGUGGAAAAAGUCUCAUAAAUUUGUUAAGCAGGAUUAUUUAUGCAUGAAACCGUGCUGGGUAUCGGAAAUGAUAUUGUUGUCCUCCAUGACCUUGGAAGUUUGUCUCUAAUGGCCUCGUCGAUCAUUUUUCCUGCAAAAUGAUGUCAAGUUCAAGGUUACGCUUUAAUCUCUUUUUCUCUAAUAUCGGUGUAACGUUCCUUUGAUUCAUGUCUUGAGGUGCCUUGUUCAAGUUUAAUAAAUGAUCAAAUACGUAGGUAAUUGGUUGUUUAAGUAAAAUUCUUCCACUAACCAGACGAAAAGGAGGAAAAGGAAGAAGAGGAGGAGGAGGCGAAGGAGUAAGAAGUGAAAAAUGAAGAGGAUAAAAGGAGGAGGAGGAGGGGAAAGAGGAGGAAGAAGAGGAGGAGGCGAGGGAAUAAGAAGUGAAAAAGGAAGAGGAUAAAAGGAGGAGGAGGAGGGGAAAGAGGAGGAAGAAGAAGAGGAGGAGGAGGAGGACUGACAACCUUACACACACAGGCGACUGAAUCCUCUCUAUUGAAACCUUUAUGUCACUGUUUGAAAAGUCCUCCAUGAACACACACACACACACACACACACACACACACACACUUCCCACUCACUCACAUCGACCAAAAAAAUAUAAAAAAAUAAUGCAAAAAAAACUAAUAUAUAAGCAACACAAAAUCUCAUUCAGGCCACGAUAAAGGGCUCUUGAGUGCUAACAAAGGCUCCAUCAGUUAAUAGAGGCAGGGUUAGGGGGAGGUAAAGGCGAAGUUAGUGAGCUGUAAAAGAGUGAAGGGGUUACGAGGGAGAGGUUAGCGGUGGAACAGAAAGCGUGUAGUGUGUGACAAAAGAAAGGUGAACUAUGGAUAGAUUGUACCACGGAAGAAUGUGUUUGGGUUAUGUGAAGAGAGGCUUAGUGGUGUUACGGAGUAUGAAGGGAAAUUAGGAGGAGGAGAGCAUGGAUGAGAAAGAAAGGUGAAUUAAAGAUAGAUUGUACCAUGGAAGAAUGUGUUUGGGUUAUGUGAAGUUUAGUGAUGAUACAAAGUGUGUGACAAGAGGUAGCUGGGUGGUGGCGUGGAAGGAAAAUUAGGAGGAGGAGAGCAUGAAGGAGAAAGAAACGUGAAUUAUAGAUAGAUUGUACCAUGGAAGAAUGUGUUUGGGUAACGAGAAGGGAAGUUUAAUGAUGAUAUAGAGCAUGUGUGACAAGAAGAAGCUGGGUGGUGGCGUGGAAGGGAAAUUAUAAUGAGGAAAGAGUGAAGGAGGAACACACGUGAAGUAAGGAAGCGUAUCACUAAUGAGGAAGUUAGUCUGAAAUAAGGAAAAAAAAGUGAUAAGUGAUGAAACAAAGACGUGUGGUAACGUAAAAAGGAAAUUAUCAGGAGGAAAUAGUGAAGGAAAGAUGAACUAGGGAAGCAUAAUGAGGAGGUUAGUCUGUAAUAAGGAGGAAUAUAUUUGGGUUAUGAGAGAGAACGUUGGUGGUGAAGGAAAGGAAAAAAAAGUGAAUUUGAGAAGCGAAUCAGCAAUGAGGAAGUUAGUCUGUUAUAAGGAGGAAUAUAUUUGGGUUAUACGAGAGAGAUCGUUGGUGGUGGUACAGGAGGAAAGGAAGAUAAGGUGAAUUUGAGAAGCGGAUCAGCAAUGAGGAAGCUAGUCUGUUAUAACGAAGAGUAUAUUUGGGUUAUACGAGAGAGAUCGUUGGUGGUGGUACAGGAGGAAAGGAAGAUAAGGUGAAUUUGAGAAGCGGAUCAGCAAUGAGGAAGUUAGUCUGUUAUAACGAAGAAUAUAUUUGGGUUAUACGAGAGAGAACGUUGGUGGUGGUACAGGAGGAAAGGAAGAUAAGGUGAAUUUGAGAAGCGGAUCAGCAAUGAGGAGGUUAGUCUGUUACAAGGAAGAAUAUAUUUGGGUUAUGAAAGAGGACACUGGUGGUGGUACAGAAGGAAGGGAAGAUAAGGUGAAUUUGAGAAGCGGAUCAGCAAUGAGGAAGUUAGUCUGUAAUAAGGAAGAAAAUAAAACAGUGGAAAAUGUGAGUUGAGAAGAAAACUGAUUGAUAAGGAGGAAAGAAAUUGAUUAAGAGGAAGGCGUUACAGCGAAGGAAAAGUGGAUUAAGGAAACGAAUCAGUAAUGAGGUAGUUAGUCUGUGAUAAGGAAGAAGAAGGUAAAAUAAAGAGCAAAAUGUGAGUUGAGAGAAAAACUGAUUGAUAAGGAGGAAAGAAACUGAUUAGGAGGGACGCGUGUGAUAAGGAAAUAGAAGUGAAAUAAGGAAGCUUGCGUAUAAAGUAAGUUAAUCUGUUAUAAGAAGGAACACAAGGAUGGAAGUUGAAAAUGUGAGUUGAGAGAAAAACUAAUUGGUGAGGAGGAAAGAAACUGAUUAGGAGGGACGCGUGUGAUAAGGAAAUAGAAGUGAAAUGAAGAACCUUACGUGUAAUAAAGUUAAUCUGUUAAAAUGAUGAAGGUAAAAAGUGAAAAAAAAAGUGUAAAAUGUGCGUUGAGAAGGAAACUGAUUGCUAUAGAGGAAAGACGUUGAUUAGGAAGGAAGUGAGUGAUAAGGAAACAGAGGUGAAAUGAAGAAGCUAGUUUGUAAUAAGGAAAAAAGAUUAAAAAGUGGAAAAUGCGAGUUGAGAAGGAAACUGAUUGCUAAAGAGGAAAAACGUUGAUUAGGAAGGAAGUGAGUGAUAAGGAAAUAGAGGUAAAAUGAAGAAGCUAGUUUGUAAUAAGGAAAAAAAGUCGAAAAAGUGGAAAAUGCGCGUUGAGAAGAAAACUGACUCGAAAAUAGGAAAAAAAAAUUGUUUGAGAAGGAAGUGUUUGAUACGGAAACAGAAGUAAAAUGAAGAAGCUAGUUUGUAAUAAGGAAAAAAAGUCGAAAAAGUGGAAAAUGCGAGUUGAGAAGGAAACUGACUCGAAAAUAGGAAAAAAAAAGUUGUUUGGGAAGGAAGUGAGUGAUAAGGAAAUAGAGGUAAAAUGAAGAAGCUAGUUUGUAAUAAGGAAAAAAAGUCGAAAAAGUGGAAAAUGCGAGUUGAGAAUAAAACUGAUUGAUAAGAAGAAAAUAAGUAGUUCAGACGGAGAGUGUGUGAUAAGGGAAUAGACUCGCAACGUUGACAGACUGUCGUACUCUGCCUCUUAUUUUUGCCGAUUUCCGACCUCAAAAACUGCUUCCAUCACCCCAAUAACUGCCUUCAUAUAUGGUUAAAGUUUAGAUGGUUAAUUAAUGGUGCUUCUUGGCAACAGUUAAGGCCCAGAAACAGGUAAAUACGCGGCUCUGAGUACGAUAACCUUGCAUCUGUGGAAUAGAGGUGGAAUGAGAAAGGAAAACACGGCAGGGAAGAGAGUGAUUAGGAUGAAAGUGAAAUAAAACAACACGUAUUGAUGGGAGAAGAGGAGAGUUAGCGAUGAAAAAAUGAAUAAGUGACAGGAUUCUAAUGAGUGACAAUGGAAAAAAAAUGUAAUGAAGGAGAUUAGUGUUAGAGCAAGAUUAGAUAAGUAGAUAUGUGAUGAUGAUAAGUAAUACGAGUGGUUUGUGGAAGAGUGAAUUAUGAAUGGGUGGUGAGAUUUUGAAAGUAUGGCAAUGAAGAAAAACAGAUAUUGAUAUAUGCACUAAUGACUGGUGACGAAAAACAAGCUAAUGUGUGAUAAUGAAGAGUAUUGUAUCGUACUUAGGUUAGAAAUAGAGAUAGGGAAUGAUAAAAUAAUGAUAAGUUAAGAGAAUAGUAGGCGUGAUAAGUCCUUUGAUAACUGAUAAUGAGGAGGAAGUUAGUGAGUUUGUUAGGGAUGGAAGUUAGUGAGUUUGUUAGGGAAGGAAGUUGGUGAGCUUGUUAUGGAAGGAAGUUAGUGAGUUUGCUAGGGAAGGAAGUUAGUGAGUUUGUUAGGGAAGGAAGUUAGUGAGUUUGUUAGGGAAGGAAGUUAGUGAGUUUGUUAGGAAAGGAAGUUAGUGAGUUUGUUAGGGAAGGAAGGUAGUGAGUUUGUUAGGGAAGGAAGGUAGUGAGUUUGUUAGGAAAGGAAGUUAGUGAGUUUGUUAGGGAAGGAAGUUAGUGAGUUUGUUAGGGAAGGAAGUUAGUGAGUUUGUUAGGGAAGGAAGUUAGUGAGUUUGUUAGGGAAGGAAGUUAGUGAGUUUGUUAGGGAAGGAAGUUAGUGAGUUUGUUAGGGAAGGAAGUUAGUGAGUUUGUUAGGGAAGGAAGUUAGUGAGUUUGUUAGGGAAGGAAGUUAGU